rnacentral:rRNA from 1 species
GACGAACGCUGGCGGCGUGCCUAAUACAUGCAAGUUGAGCGAUGAAGAUUGGUGCUUGCACCAAUUUGAAGAGCAGCGAACGGGUGGGUAACGCGUGGGGAAUCUGCCUUUGAGCGGGGGACAACAUUUGGAAACGAAUGCUAAUACCGCAUAAUAACUUUAAACAUAAGUUUUAAGUUUGAAAGAUGCAAUUGCAUCACUCAAAGAUGAUCCCGCGUUGUAUUAGCUAGUUGGUGAGGUAAAGGCUCACCAAGGCGAUGAUACAUAGCCGACCUGAGAGGGUGAUCGGCCACAUUGGGACUGAGACACGGCCCAAACUCCUACGGGAGGCAGCAGUAGGGAAUCUUCGGCAAUGGACGAAAGUCUGACCGAGCAACGCCGCGUGAGUGAAGAAGGUUUUCGGAUCGUAAAACUCUGUUGGUAGAGAAGAACGUUGGUGAGAGUGGAAAGCUCAUCAAGUGACGGUAACUACCCAGAAAGGGACGGCUAACUACGUG